AGAAUCAACGCUGGCGGCGUGCCUAACACAUGCAAGUCGAACGAGAAAGUGGAGCAAUCCAUGAGUAAAGUGGCGACCGGGUGAGUAACACGUGACUAACCUACCCUUGAGUGGGGAAUAACCUCGGGAAACCGGGGCUAAUACCGCAUAACACCUACGGGUCAAAGGAGCAAUUCGCUUAAGGAGGGGGUCGCGGCAGAUUAGUUAGUUGGCGGGGUAAUGGCCCACCAAGACGGUGAUCUGUAUCC
rnacentral:rRNA from 1 species